rnacentral:lncRNA from 1 species
CCAGUUACAGAUCAUCCACAUUUGUCAAGCAGCACUGACAAAAACGUUCCAACUCACUGAACAAAUUAAAGCAUUUGUCUGUACAGUUGUGACCAUUUUCCUGCUUCAAGAAGCAGCCUUCAAGCAUCCCUCUAUCUGUUGUAGUACAGUUGCCAGGACAUCUUUCAUCACAAUGUUCAACUUUUUUUCCAUUAUUAAAAACUGUUCAUACACCAUCACAGCUUUCAGGAAAAUCCACUUGUGUGUACCAAAUACUCCUCUAGUUCCAAUGGUGCUUCCAUGAUGGGCUUAAUGCUUCUGUACAACAUAUUGGACACCACUGAAAGCUUCUCC